ACUCCGGUUGAUCCUGCCGGACCCGACCGCUAUCGGGGUAGGGCUAAGCCAUGGGAGUCGAACGCCCCGCCGCUGCGGGGCGUGGCGGACGGCUGAGUAACACGUGGCUAACCUACCCUCGGGACGGGGAUAACCCCUCGGGAAACUGGGGCUAAUCCCCGAUAGGCGGGGGGUGCCUGGAAGGGUCCCCCGCCGAAAGGGGCCGCGGGGGGUUAUCGCCUGCGGUCCGCCCGAGGAUGGGGCUGCGGCCCAUCAUGGUAGUUGGCGGGGUAAUGGCCCGCCAAGCCUACGACGGGUAGGGGCCGUGAGAGCGGGAGCCCCCAGAUGGGCACUGAGACAAGGGCCCAGGCCCUA
rnacentral:rRNA from 1 species